rnacentral:rRNA from 1 species
AUUGAACGCUGGCGGCAGGCCUAACACAUGCAAGUCGAGCGGAUGAAGGGAGCUUGCUCCUGGUUUCAGCGGCGGAGGGGUGGGUAAUGCCUAGGAAUCUGCCGGGUGGUGGGGGAUAACGUCCGGAAACGGGCGCUAUUACCCCAUACGUCCUGAGGGGGAAAGGGGGGGAUCUUCGGACCUCCCGCUAUCAGAUGAGCCUAAGUCGGAUUAGCUAGUUGGUGGGGUAAAGGCCUACCAAGGCGACGAUCCGUAACUGGUCUGAGAGGAUGAUCAGUCACACUGGAACUGAGACACGGUCCAGACUCCUACGGGAGGCAGCAGUGGGGAAUAUUGGACAAUGGGCGAAAGCCUGAUCCAGCCAUGCCGCGUGUGUGAAGAAGGUCUUCGGAUUGUAAAGCACUUUAAGUUGGGAGGAAGGGCAGUAAGUUAAUACCUUGCUGUUUUGACGUUACCAACAGAAUAAGCACCGGCUAACUUCGUG